GACGAACGCUGGCGGCGUGCCUAAUACAUGCAAGUCGAACGCUUUGAUUUUCACCGGAGCUUGCUCCACCGAAAAUCAAAGAGUGGCGGACGGGUGAGUAACACGUGGGCAACCUGCCCAACAGAGGGGGAUAACACUUGGAAACAGGCGCUAAUACCGCAUAAUUUGUUUUUCCGCAUGGAAGAAUAAUAAAAGACGCUUCGGUGUCACUGUUGGAUGGGCCCGCGCUGCAUUAGUUAGUUGGUGGGGUAACGGCCUACCAAGACCAUGAUGCAUAGCCGACCUGAGAGGGUGAUCGGCCACACUGGGACUGAGACACGGCCCAGACUCCUACGGGAGGCAGCAGUAGGGAAUCUUCGGCAAUGGACGAAAGUCUGACCGAGCAACGCCGCGUGAGUGAAGAAGGUUUUCGGAUCGUAAAACUCUGUUGUUAGAGAAGAACAAGUGAGAGAGUUACUGUUCUCACCUUGACGGUAUCUAACCAGAAAGCCACGGCUAACUACGUGCCAGCAGCCGCGGUAAUACGUAGGUGGCAAGCGUUGUCCGGAUUUAUUGGGCGUAAAGCGAGCGCAGGCGGUUUCUUAAGUCUGAUGUGAAAGCCCUCGGCUCAACCGAGGAAGGUCAUUGGAAACUGGGGAACUUGAGUGCAGAAGAGGAGAGUGGAAUUCCAUGUGUAGCGGUGAAAUGCGUAGAUAUAUGGAGGAACACCAGUGGCGAAGGCGACUCUCUGGUCUGUAACUGACGCUGAGGCUCGAAAGCGUGGGGAGCAAACAGG
rnacentral:rRNA from 1 species